rnacentral:rRNA from 1 species
GAUGAACGCUGGCGGCGUGCCUAAUACAUGCAAGUCGAGCGAACAGAUAAGGAGCUUGCUCCUUUGACGUUAGCGGCGGACGGGUGAGUAACACGUGGGUAACCUACCUAUAAGACUGGGAUAACUUCGGGAAACCGGAGCUAAUACCGGAUAACAUUUGGAACCGCAUGGUUCUAAAGUGAAAGAUGGUUUUGCUAUCACUUAUAGAUGGACCCGCGCCGUAUUAGCUAGUUGGUAAGGUAACGGCUUACCAAGGCAACGAUACGUAGCCGACCUGAGAGGGUGAUCGGCCACACUGGAACUGAGACACGGUCCAGACUCCUACGGGAGGCAGCUGUAGGGAAUCUUCCGCAAUGGGCGAAAGCCUGACGGAGCAACGCCGCGUGAGUGAUGAAGGGUUUCGGCUCGUAAAACUCUGUUAUUAGGGAAGAACAAACGUGUAAGUAACUGUGCACGUCUUGACGGUACCUAAUCAGAAAGCCACGGCUAACUACGUG